GUUUCAGCAGCCGCGGUAAGACGGAGGGUGCAAGCGUUGCUCGGAAUCACUGGGCGUAAAGCGCGUGUAGGCGGUCCGAUAAGUCGAGUGUGAAAGCCCGAGGCUCAACCUCGGAAGUGCAUUCGAAACUGCCGGACUUGAGUACGGGAGAGGGAAGUGGAAUUCCUGGUGUAGAGGUGAAAUUCGUAGAUAUCAGGAGGAACACCGGUGGCGAAGGCGGCUUCCUGGACCGAUACUGACGCUGAGACGCGAAAGCGUGGGGAGCAAACAGGAUUAGAAACCCUGGUAGUCC
rnacentral:rRNA from 1 species